rnacentral:lncRNA from 1 species
UUGCACAGAAAUUCCAAAGCGUGUGUGAACACACUAAACUUUAGGUUCGAUUCGCCCCCACCAUAAACUGGAUGCAAAAGGGUUAACCGGCGAAUCCCCUUCAGGAUACUUUGGAAACCUUGACAUGGAUUGCACAUACACAUCAAGCAUAUCGAUCAACGACAUUUUACGGAAUAAAGUUUCUUCAAUAACCCUUGUGCACUAGAGAAAUGAAGAAAUGAUUUAGAAAUAAUUUUGACAGAAUUGACUCAUGAAAUUCAUGAUUUCUCUUAUGUAUUUU